rnacentral:rRNA from 1 species
UACGAAGGGGGCUAGCGUUGCUCGGAAUCACUGGGCGUAAAGCGCACGUAGGCGGACUCUUAAGUCGGUGGUGAAAUCCUGGAGCUCAACUCCAGAACUGCCUUCGAUACUGAGAGUCUCGAGUCCGGGAGAGGUGAGUGGAACUGCGAGUGUAGAGGUGAAAUUCGUAGAUAUUCGCAAGGACACCAGUGGCGAAGGCGGCUCACUGGCCCGGUACUGACGCUGAGGUGCGAAAGCGUGGGGAGCAAACAGG